rnacentral:rRNA from 1 species
GUACACACCGCCCGUCGCUCCUACCGAUUGGGUGUGCUGGUGAAGUGUUCGGAUUGGUGCAAUUGGUGGGCAACCACUGGCUGCGCCGAGAAGAUCAUUAAACCCUCCCACCUAGAGGAAGGAGAAGUCGUAACAAGGUUUCCGUAGGUGAACCUGCAGAAGGAUCA